ensembl:snoRNA
CCGCACUAUUCGUAACCUGGUUCAGUCUUCAGUGUGAACACGGGUUCCAUUCUAGUGCCAUAGCGAGCCCCAUCGAGGCAGGGGAGCAGUGCUUUGUGCCCGCUCCCUGUUCACUCUUUGGGAACAUUU